rnacentral:tmRNA from 1 species
GGGGUCGACUGGUUUUGACAGCAAGUCGAAUUGAUUAAUAAGCACGUCGAGAAUGGGAUGUAUUCUCGUUAAUUCAAAUGUCCCAACACUUUUACACGGCGAAAAUAAUUACGCUUUAGCUGCUUAAUCCGAAUCAUAGUACGAUGAGCCACGUUCCUACAAGGUAGGAAAGCUGGAUUCUCCCUGAAAGCCCUGGUCUGUGGCGUUCUGUUCGGGGGAACCGUAAAAAUAGACCUAGGUUUGGUGACGCUUCGGUGCCUUUCUGACAACUAAGAAGAUAAGCUUCAUGCGGCUGUUCCUGGCCACUCAUGAUGUCGAAAACCCAAUCAGGAAAUAAGCGUGUAGAAAGUUUUUUAGUUGCUUGUUUGGACCCGGGUUCGAUUCCCGGCGACUCCACAA